rfam:Pan troglodytes isolate Yerkes chimp pedigree #C0471 (Clint) chromosome 17, whole genome shotgun sequence.
UAUUAGGUUGGGGCAAACGUGAUUGCGGUUUUUGCCAUUAAAAGCAAUGGCAAAAACUGCAAUCACAUUUGCCCCAACCUAAUA